rnacentral:rRNA from 1 species
CAAAGGAAGCGAUUCCGGCGGGGGAUGGGCAUGCGGCGCAUUAGCUAGUCGGCGGGGUAACGGCCCACCGAGGCGACGAUGCGUAGGGGUUCUGAGAGGAAGGUCCCCCACACUGGUACUGAGACACGGACCAGACUCCUACGGGAGGCAGCAGUGAGGAAUAUUGGUCAAUGGGCGGGGGCCUGAACCAGCCAAGUCGCGUGAGGGAAGACGGUCCUACGGAUUGUAAACCUCUUUUGCCGGGGAGCAACGGGGUCCUUGCGAGGGCCCGAUGAGAGUACCCGGAGAAAAAGCAUCGGCUAACUCCGUGCCAGCAGCCGCGGUAAUACGGAGGAUGCGAGCGUUAUCCGGAUUUAUUGGGUUUAAAGGGUGCGUAGGCGGGCUGUUAAGUCAGCGGUCAAAUGUCGGGGCUCAACCCCGGCCUGCCGUUGAAACUGGCGGCCUCGAGUGGGCGAGAAGUAUGCGGAAUGCGUGGUGUAGCGGUGAAAUGCAUAGAUAUCACGCAGAACUCCGAUUGCGAAGGCAGCAUACCGGCGCCCGACUGACGCUGAGGCACGAAAGCGUGGGUAUCGAACAGGAUUAGAUACCCUGGUAGUCCACGCAGUAAACGAUGAAUGCUAGCUGUCCGGUUCUACGGGACUGG